GUCAUGGCGGCGGAGUGGCGGCACAAAACACCUCACACCGACCUGCAAUGUUUACAGUCAGUGUUACAAUACAUUAUUUAAUAGGAUAAAAGCUGUUAUUUUACCUCAGCUGAUUUCAAAACCCAGCCCUAGCUGAGACACGACCUACUUCCACUAGUGGCUUUGUUCACUGGUGACUCCGACUACCACUGUUCCACCUCAUCUGUCAUCAGUAUAUAAGCUCCAUCUCCGCAAAUAUGCUGCACUUUUGUAAAAAUUGAUGGAACGGAAACAACGACUCCAGGCUGAGGGACUGAUUACCUCAAACUCCUCAGCUUCCACGUUUUUCUGCACUGGACUGACGAAGUUACUGUGUGGCGAAACGUUUCCAGAAUAAAAAUACCCAAAUGUU